rnacentral:tmRNA from 1 species
GGGGGUGUACCGGUUUCGACGGAUGCGCGAAUCCCUGCGCUGCAAGUGGGUGUGAAGGUGCCCUAAACUGACAAAAAAAUAACUGCAAACAAAAAACGAAAGGAAGAGGAAUCUUCUGACGAGCAGUUCGCACUUGCCGCUUAAGUCGGUGUGCGCGGAGACUUUACUGUGCUGUUCCUAACGGUAAAACUCUCUGACGAUAACAGGGACUUGACUUAAGGUGCUUUUGACCGCUUUAGGUGACGUUUAGUCAGAAUACGGAAAAGACGCUUGUAAUGCUGCUACCUUUUCCCGACAACUACCUCGCAUUACUAAACUUGUAGAGGUGCUUGGCUUACACACUCGGACGCGGGUUCAAUUCCCGCCAUCUCCAUCA